rnacentral:rRNA from 1 species
GAUGAACGCUGGCGGCGUGCCUAAUACAUGCAAGUCGAGCGAACGGACGAGAAGCUUGCUUCUCUGAUGUUAGCGGCGGACGGGUGAGUAACACGUGGAUAACCUACCUAUAAGACUGGGAUAACUUCGGGAAACCGGAGCUAAUACCGGAUAAUAUUUUGAACCGCAUGGUUCAAAAGUGAAAGACGGUCUUGCUGUCACUUAUAGAUGGAUCCGCGCUGCAUUAGCUAGUUGGUAAGGUAACGGCUUACCAAGGCAACGAUGCAUAGCCGACCUGAGAGGGUGAUCGGCCACACUGGAACUGAGACACGGUCCAGACUCCUACGGGAGGCAGCAGUAGGGAAUCUUCAGCAAUGGGCGAAAGCAUGACGGAGCAACGCCGCGUGAGUGAUGAAGGUCUUCGGAUCGUAAAACUCUGUUAUUAGGGAAGAACAUAUGUGUAAGUAACUGUGCACAUCUUGACGGUACCUAAUCAGAAAGCCACGGCUAACUACGUG